AGAACGAACGCUGGCGGCAGGCCUAAUACAUGCAAGUCGAACGCACUCUUCGGAGUGAGUGGCAGACGGGUGAGUAACGCGUGGGAACCUUCCCAAUGGUACGGAAUAACUCCGGGAAACCGGUGCUAAUACCGUAUAAGCCCCUCGGGGGAAAGAUUUAUCGCCAUUGGAUGGGCCCGCGUCGGAUUAGCUAGUUGGUAAGGUAAUGGCUUACCAAGGCUACGAUCCGUAGCUGGUCUGAGAGGAUGAUCAGCCACACUGGGACUGAGACACGGCCCAGACUCCUACGGGAGGCAGCAGUAGGGAAUCUUGGACAAUGGGCGAAAGCCUGAUCCAGCCAUGCCGCGUGAGUGAAGAAGGCCUUAGGGUUGUAAAGCUCUUUUGGCGGGACGAUAAUGACGGUACCCGCAGAAUAAGCCCGCUAACUCGUGCCAGCAGCCGC
rnacentral:rRNA from 1 species